rnacentral:tRNA from 1 species
GCCCUCAUCGUCUAGUGGCUAGGACAUUGGAUUCUCAUUCCAAAAACCGGGGUUCAAUUCCCCGUGGGGGUACCA